rnacentral:rRNA from 1 species
CCUACGGGAGGCAGCAGUGAGGAAUAUUGGUCAAUGGGCGCAAGCCUGAACCAGCCAAGCAGCGUGAAGGAUGACUGCCCUACGGGUUGUAAACUUCUUUUAUAAAGGAGUAAAGUGAGGCACGUGUGCCUUUUUGAAUGUACCUUAUGAAUAAGGAUCGGCUAACUCCGUGCCAGCAGCCGCGGUAAUACGGAGGAUCCGAGCGUUAUCCGGAUUUAUUGGGUUUAAAGGGUGCGUAGAUGGUUGGUUAAGUCAGUUGUGAAAGUUUGCGGCUCAACCGUAAAAUUGCAAUUGAUACUGGCAGUCUUGAGUACAGUUGAGGUAGGCGGAAUGCGUGGUGUAGCGGUGAAAUGCUUAGAUAUCACGAAGAACUCCGAUUGCGAAGGCAGCUUACUAAGCUGCCACUGACAUUGAUGCUCGAAAGUGUGGGGAGCAAACAGGAUUAGAUACCCGGGUAGUC